UUUAAGCGCAGUAAUGAGUUUUCGUGUUCAACAUUGAUCGUUCGUCUUAUUUGAAUAUCUUUUCAUAAUUAGUACUUUUAUUAUUAUUAUAUGAUAAAACAUGAAUAAUACUUUUCUUAAUAUUUCUAUAAAAUAUUUAAAUAAGAUGGACGAUCAAAAUUGGACACAAGAACUUGUGUCUGCGUUUAAA
rfam:Oryza rufipogon genomic scaffold, chr11